AUGAACGCUGGCGGCGUGCCUAAUACAUGCAAGUCGAGCGAACGGACGAGAAGCUUGCUUCUCUGAUGUUAGCGGCGGACGGGUGAGUAACACGUGGAUAACCUACCUAUAAGACUGGGAUAACUUCGGGAAACCGGAGCUAAUACCGGAUAAUAUUUUGAACCGCAUGGUUCAAAAGUAAAAGACGGUCUUGCUGUCACUUAUAGAUGGAUCCGCGCUGCAUUAGCUAGUUGGUAAGGUAACGGCUUACCAAGGCAACGAUGCAUAGCCGACCUGAGAGGGUGAUCGGCCACACUGGAACUGAGACACGGUCCAGACUCCUACGGGAGGCAGCAGUAGGGAAUCUUCCGCAAUGGGCGAAAGCCUGACGGAGCAACGCCGCGUGUGUGAUGAAGGUCUUCGGAUCGUAAAACUCUGUUAUUAGGGAAGAACAUAUGUGUAAGUAACUGUGCACAUCUUGACGGUACCUAAUCAGAAAGCCACGGCUAACUACGUG
rnacentral:rRNA from 1 species